rnacentral:rRNA from 1 species
UAUAUAGUAUCAGCUAGUUGGUAAGGUAAUGGCUUACCAAGGCUAUGACGCUUAACUGGUCUGAGAGGAUGAUCAGUCACACUGGAACUGAGACACGGUCCAGACUCCUACGGGAGGCAGCAGUAGGGAAUAUUGCGCAAUGGGGGAAACCCUGACGCAGCAACGCCGCGUGGAGGAUGACACUUUUCGGAGCGUAAACUCCUUUUCUUAGGGAAGAAUUCUGACGGUACCUAAGGAAUAAGCACCGGCUAACUCCGUGCCAGCAGCCGCGGUAAUACGGAGGGUGCAAGCGUUACUCGGAAUCACUGGGCGUAAAGGGCGCGUAGGCGGAUUAUCAAGUCUCUUGUGAAAUCUAAUGGCUUAACCAUUAAACUGCUUGGGAAACUGAUAGUCUAGAGUGAGGGAGAGGCAGAUGGAAUUGGUGGUGUAGGGGUAAAAUCCGUAGAUAUCACCAAGAAUACCCAUUGCGAAGGCGAUCUGCUGGAACUCAACUGACGCUAAGGCGCGAAAGCGUGGGGAGCAAACAGGAUUAGAUACCCUGGUAGUCCACGCCCUAAACGAUGUACACUAGUUGUUGGGGUGCUAGUCAUCUCAGUAAUGCAGCUAACGCAUUAAGUGUACCGCCUGGGGAGUACGGUCGCAAGAUUAAAACUCAAAGGAAUAGACGGGGACCCGCACAAGCGGUGGAGCAUGUGGUUUAAUUCGAAGAUACGCGAAGAACCUUACCUGGGCUUGAUAUCCUAAGAACCUUUUAGAGAUAAGAGGGUGCUAGCUUGCUAGAACUUAGAGACAGGUGCUGCACGGCUGUCGUCAGCUCGUGUCGUGAGAUGUUGGGUUAAGUCCCGCAACGAGCGCAACCCACGUAUUUAGUUGCUAACGGUUCGGCCGAGCACUCUAAAUAGACUGCCUUCGUAAGGAGGAGGAAGGUGUGGACGACGUCAAGUCAUCAUGGCCCUUAUGCCCAGGGCGACACACGUGCUACAAUGGCAUAUACAAUGAGACGCAAUACCGCGAGGUGGAGCAAAUCUAUAAAAUAUGUCCCAGUUCGGAUUGUUCUCUGCAACUCGAGAGCAUGAAGCCGGAAUCGCUAGUAAUCGUAGAUCAGCCAUGCUACGGUGAAUACGUUCCCGGGUCUUGUACUCACCGCCCGUCACACCAUGGGAGUUGAUUUCACUCGAAGCCGGAAUACUAAACUAGUUACCGUCCACAGUGGAAUCAGCGACUGGGGUGAAGUCGUAACAAGGUAACCGUAGGAGAACCUGCGGUUGGAUCACCUCCUUUCUA